CGAACGGGUGAGUAACGCGUGAGCAAUCUACCUUAGUUACAGGGAUAGCCCGAGGAAACUCGGAUUAAUACCUGAUAUUCUUUAUUUCUCGCAUGAGAAUAAAAGGAAAGGUCAGCCGAACUAAGAUGAGCUCGCGUUCUAUCAGCUAGUUGGUGAGGUAAAAGCUUACCAAGGCUACGACGGAUAGCUGGUCUGAGAGGACGAUCAGCCACACUGGGACUGAGACACGGCCCAGACUCCUACGGGAGGCUGCAGCAGGGAAUAUUGUGCAAUGAACGAAAGUUUGACACAGCGACACCGCGUGUGGGAUGACGGAUCUAGGUUUGUAAACCACUUUCAGGAGGGAAGAAAAUGACGGUACCUCCACAAGAAGCCCCGGCCAACUACGUGCCAGCAGCCGCGGUAAUACGUAGGGGGCGAGCGUUGUCCGGAUUUAUUGGGCGUAAAGAGCUCGUAGGCGGUUCAACAAGUCGGUCGUGAAAGUUCAGGGCUCAACCCUGAAAUGUCGAUCGAUACUGUUGUGACUAGGAUACGGUAGAGGUGAGUGGAAUUCCGAGUGUAGCGGUGAAAUGCGUAGAUAUUCGGAGGAACACCAAUUGCGAAGGCAGCUCACUGGGCCGCUAUCGACGCUGAGGAGCGAAAGCUAGGGGAGCAAACAGGAUUAGAUACCCUGGUAGUCCUAGCUGUAAACGAUGACAACUAGCUGUUGGAAGA
rnacentral:rRNA from 1 species